rnacentral:lncRNA from 1 species
CCGGAGGUAAUCCGGAGGUUUAUCCUGACACUCUCAAUAACCUCAAUCUCAAGUGGAGAUGGAUCGUUAUAUGGUGGAGAAUAGUAGGAGGUUCUAGUCUAUGGUAACCGGUCAGGGAUAUAGAUGUUGACGGAAUAACCUUGUGGAUGAUAUAGGUUAGUGUUUGUAUAUGGAUUUGAAUGGGUAUUGUUGGAGGUCAUCAAAAGUGCAUGAACC